CUUGGACUUGAUCGAGAAAACUGUCUAUGAUGGAAGAGGAUUAAGAGCCGUGGUUGGGCUCGAGGCAAAGGAAGCGCUUGUAUUACGUUAUUUGUGGGACUGGAUGGCAUAUAUCUUGUACAGUUUAGAUUUGGAUUCAUUUUGUGUAAUAGUUUGGCUAGUGUGACUGUUUGGAAUGGAAAUGGAUGUAUAUAUACGUUCCACGCUUAGAAUUAGUUUCCGUUUCGCUUAUGAUAUGUAAUUCUUGGAGAA